rnacentral:rRNA from 1 species
ACGUAUGGUGCAAGCGUUAUCCGGAUUUACUGGGUGUAAAGGGAGCGCAGGCGGUACGGCAAGUCUGAUGUGAAAGCCCGGGGCUCAACCCCGGUACUGCAUUGGAAACUGUCGGACUAGAGUGUCGGAGGGGUAAGCGGAAUUCCUAGUGUAGCGGUGAAAUGCGUAGAUAUUAGGAGGAACACCAGUGGCGAAGGCGGCUUACUGGACGAUUACUGACGCUGAGGCUCGAAAGCGUGGGGAGCAAACAG